rnacentral:rRNA from 1 species
UAGGNAAAAUUUGAAGGUAAAUUCUGCCCUAUGAUGAUUUAAAUGGCUGCAGUAUUCUGACUGUGCAAAGGUAGCAUAAUAAUUAGUCUUUUAAUUGGAGGCUAGUAUGAAUGAAUAUAUGAGAAAUUAAUUUUAUUAUUUUUAUAAUUAGAAUUUGCUAUUUAAGUAAUAAAGCUUAUUUGUUUUUUUGGGACGAUAAGACCCUAUAGAACUUUAAUAUUAAUAAAUUUUAUUUACUUUUUAGGUUUUAAAUUUUAUAGUUUUAUUGAUAUUUUUUUUGGGGCGGAUAAUAAAUUUGACUUUAUUUUUUUUUUUCAUUUUAUUUAUGUUUUGUAGAUCCAAUUAUGAUUUUAAGAUUAAGUUACCUUAGGGAUAACAGCGUUAUUUUAAUGAGGAGUUCAUAUCUAUAUUAAAGUUUGCGACCUCGAUGUUGAAUUAAGAUUAGAUUGGGGGGUAG